CUUGGGGCACUUGGCCUAGUUAGAUAGUGGAGAACUGGACUGACAUGUGUGAAGAAUUUGGGGUUCUGGGGCCCCUUGGGAGUUGAGUCAGAGUUGCCUCAUUCCUCUUCUUGGGUUCUGUCUCCCGUUUGCUUCUAGACUUUCCCAUUCUUUGGUGUAGCUCCUGCAAUCCUGAAUGAGUCCGGGGAAGAGUUGGAAGGUGAAGCUGAAGGUUAUCUGCUGCUUAGGACUGAAACUUCAUGGUUGGAGGUUUGCUCACUGAGAGACCCUGGAGGGGACCCUCGAUACUUUGCCUGCAUCUCUUCCUUUUGGGCCAUAAGUCUCCUAAGGGCGUUUUAAGAGUUGCUCAGAUUCCUGAUGGUACCUUUUUGGGUCUGGAAGACUAAGUCCCAUCUUCUUUUGACAAAGAUUCUACAGAAAGGAGGCUUUAUAACAUAGUAGAAAAUCACGUAGGAUCUGGAGUCACCCUGCCUGGGUUCGAAUCCUAGCUCUGCCUCUUCUGUGACCUCAGAUAAGUUAUUUAACACCUCUGAAUCUACAUUUUCUAAUUUGUAAAAUAGGGUUAAAGUGGUGUCUCUGGCCGGGCACGGUGGCUCACACCUGUAAUCCUAGCACUUUGGGAG
rnacentral:lncRNA from 10 species